rnacentral:misc_RNA from 1 species
GUGGAGGAAGAGGAAAAUUGGGUUGGCAAAAAAGUGGAAUACUAAGAGAUUGGAGAGUAACUUGAGUUCUCGUUUGGAUUCGAUUAGUGGAAGUACUACUUUGAUUAGGUAUAGUUUUGAUGAGAUUAAGGCGGCUACAAAGAAUUUCUCUAGGUUGAAUAUAGUUGGGACAGGAGGGUAUGGGAAUGUGUAUAAGGGUGUGUUGCCGGGUGGGAUUGAAGUAGCUUUGAAGAGGUUCAAGAAUUGUUCGGUUGCUGGUGAUGCGAAUUUCACUCAUGAAGUGGAGGUUAUUGCUAGUGUUAGGCAUGUGAAUUUGGUGGCUUUGAGAGGGUACUGCACAGCGACAACCCCUUUUGAGGGUCACCAGAGGAUCAUUGUUUGUGAUUUGAUGAAGAAUGGGAGUCUUCAUGAUCAUUUGUUUGGAACGAGACAUGAAAAAUUGAGUUGGGGUAUUAAGCAGAAGGUUGCAAUUGGCACUGCUAGAGGAUUGGCUUACCU